rnacentral:rRNA from 1 species
AUGUACAAUCUUGAUGUCAAGGUCAUAGAGAUACAAUCUUUUGUGGAGAAGAUGAGAGAUGAUGCCGAAGAUGGUAAUGAGGACACUACCACUGAGAGGUUUCAGACAAUGCCGAGGGCACCCAGGUCUUCAGCUGUGCCAGAAGCAGACACCAGGACAACACACUCUGCACCUGCCGCCACUGGUACAGUGCCACCCCUAGUGUCGACACCACCAGCUCAACAGACAUCAGCCGAGGCAUUUGUAGAAGCAGUUCUCUCCAUGCCAUCUAUGCACACCGAAGCAAUAAGCCAGAAGACCCCUUCAGGAGUUCCCAGAGAUUGUGCCUGGAGUGUCGUAUAG